rnacentral:rRNA from 1 species
CCUGGUUGAUCCUGCCAGUAGUCAUAUGCUUGUCUCAAAGAUUAAGCCAUGCAUGUCUAAGUAUAAGCGACUAUACUGUGAAACUGCGAAUGGCUCAUUAAAUCAGUUAUGGUUUAUUUGAUGGUACCUUGCUACUUGGAUAACCGUAGUAAUUCUAGAGCUAAUACAUGCAGGAGUUCCCGACUCACGGAGGGAUGUAUUUAUUAGAUAAGAAACCAAACCGGUCUCCGGUUGCGUGCUGAGUCAUAAUAACUGCUCGAAUCGCACGGCUCUACGCCGGCGAUGGUUCAUUCAAAUUUCUGCCCUAUCAGCUUUCGAUGGUAGGAUAGAGGCCUACCAUGGCGUUAACGGGUAACGGAGAAUUAGGGUUCGAUUCCGGAGAGGGAGCCUGAGAAAUGGCUACCACAUCCAAGGAAGGCAGCAGGCGCGUAAAUUGCCCGAAUCCUGACACAGGGAGGUAGUGACAAGAAAUAACAAUACAGGGCUAUUUUAGUCUUGUAAUUGGAAUGAGUACAAUUUACAUCUCUUCACGAGGAUCAAUUGGAGGGCAAGUCUGGUGCCAGCAGCCGCGGUAAUUCCAGCUCCAAUAGCGUAUAUUAAAGUUGUUGCAGUUAAAACGCUCGUAGUCGGAUUUCGGGGCGGGCCGACCGGUCUGCCGAUGGGUAUGCACUGGCCGGCGCGUCCUUCCACCCGGAGACCGCGCCUACUCUUAACUGAGCGGGCGCGGGAGACGGGUCUUUUACUUUGAAAAAAUCAGAGUGUUUCAAGCAGGCAGUCGCUCUUGCAUGGAUUAGCAUGGGAUAAUGAAAUAGGACUCUGGUGCUAUUUUGUUGGUUUCGAACACCGGAGUAAUGAUUAACAGGGACAGUCAGGGGCACUCGUAUUCCGCCGAGAGAGGUGAAAUUCUCAGACCAGCGGAAGACGAACCACUGCGAAAGCAUUUGCCAGGGAUGUUUUCACUGAUCAAGAACGAAAGUUAGGGGAUCGAAGACGAUCAGAUACCGUCGUAGUCUUAACCAUAAACCAUGCCGACUAGGGAUUGGAGGAUGUUCCAUUUGUGACUCCUUCAGCACCUUUCGGGAAACUAAAGUCUUUGGGUUCCGGGGGGAGUAUGGUCGCAAGGCUGAAACUUAAAGGAAUUGACGGAAGGGCACCACCAGGAGUGGAGCCUGCGGCUUAA